UGAAUGAUUGUAACAUUUCUAAUGAUUUUAGUGACUUCUUACCAAAUGAUUUCCCGACAGGACAGCUCUCCCAAACAAACGACUUUCUCCUCAGCCCUAAAACAGCUGUUAAUCGGCGGCGCUCCCUUGUUUCCAUAGAAACGACGCUCCGUGUCAAAUCUCGCGAUAUUUGAGUUGGUGUUGUGACAAAUCGUUCUGUGGAGCUGGAUUGCGCGGACGUUUGAUGCUAAAUUUGAUGCUAAUAUGAUGCUACAUAUGAUUUAUUUAAAGCCCUCAACGAGCUGGAGGUACAUAAAGGAUGGACAAAGGAAAGUGAAAGCUGUGAUUUUAGACGCUUAACGUGCGCUCCCUGGCGGAUACUGAGCAUGUCUUUUCUUCAGGCUGUUGAUGAAGCUGUCAGGAUGUGCAAAGCUGAAGAAUGCCUUCUAAAGCAGAUAUUCUGCCUGAAGAAAAAGAAGAAAUUGAAUUGUUGGAGCAGGUUUUGAAAAGUAAACACUCUAAUGAGGGCAAAAAUAAAACACUCAUUGAUUAUACUUUUAAAGUGGAAGAAAAAGUCAAACUGGUGAAAUCUGAGGCGUGCAAAAAACCCAAUCAUCACAGACGGGCCGGAGGGAAUGUGACCCAUGGAGCCCCCUGGACUCGUCCGGUUCUGGUCCGGAAAGGACUGGCGGCUCAUCCGGUGUUCAGUGGAAGGCCGUCAGUCACGAAGAGCACUUCAGCGAAGAUCUCUUCCACAGGAUCCCAGCAGAAGACGUGUGUCAAAGCGUCUUCUGCAGAUGAUGCCCCAUCAGUCUCCUGCCAAGAAGUGUCUGCAUCUGGUAGAGAUGGGAAAGUCACAACAGGAAGUAGGCAGUCUAAAGAGCAAUGAUUGCAGAAGAAAGUGUUAACCCAGCGAUCAAAGCCAGUACCAGAGAGAACCCAAUUCACAGAGAGACUGCGAGACACUUUCCUGUCCGAAUGGCCUUCUGUAUCUCCUGCUGAUAUCACAGCAGAGCUGGAUGUGCUUGCACAGCGCUUUCUUGACCUGACACACUGCUUCCACGCCGAGCUACAGGCCCAGAAGGACUCCGAUUCAGGGACCUUGCGUGAGAGAGAAUAUGAGUCCUUGCUGAUGCUGGAGGGUUUGGAGAGGAUGACGGCAGAACUUACUACGUGUGCUGAUCAUCGAAAGAAAGGUACUUCAGAAUCUCCAGCCGCAAAAACAAUUUGAUGUCAUUUUCAUGUCAGGGUUUGUUGCUUGUGAUGCCAAGCAGUUUUAAGUCACUUCAGAUGAAUGCAUCUGCUUAAUGAAUAUUGCAAAUUUACAGAAGAAUUAAAACCUUUUCAGUGUGCAGGUCAAGAAAUAAACAAACUCACUGUAUUUUUUGGGUUCGGUCUACUACAAUGGCACACAUCACACCCUUCAUCUUCAAGCUAUUUUGGGUCUAAUGUGGUGUCAGUAGCCUGUAAUCUGUUCACCUUCCAUUAAACCUGGCCACUCGGAACUGGGAGAGGUGGGAUAUGAGCCUCUCUGGAGCUUUGUGUCCCGUCCGGAGGAGAGGUGAAUGGGGCGACCCGGCCCGUUCCUGCCUGCCACCCAUCCUGUCGUAGAGCUGUGAGGCUGAACUGAGAGAGCUGGAAAGCCAAAGGCUGAGAAUAGAACAACUUCAGCAGGCCAUUCGUCUUCAACAGGCAAUGUCUGAUAGCCUUGCAGCUUACUGGAGCUCUCGUCCCGAAGCCGCUCUACCCAGUGCCGUGGUUCUGCGUGGCUUGUACUCGCUUCUGGCGGAGGGAGGAGUUCAGUUCCCAUCGCUGGUUUUGGAUUCGGAGUCAGAUUGAGCAAAAACAAGACUGCAUUUCAGGAGUCCCACAUGGUCUUCACACAGGCCGAUGAGCACAAAGCUGUCACAGCCGCCACCGCCAACAUGCAGAAACCAAUCAAUAGAUCAUUGGAAUGGUAAAUCGAUGAGCGAACUCUCCACGUGUAGCGCUGCGGUGAGAUUCACGCAGAGUGUGUGAAACCGAGCGAAGGAGAGGCUCCACGGGGCCCGUACGGGUACGGUAGCCCACAGACAGGAGGCACAAGCUGUUCCAGACUGGGAGACAGGUGGCGCUGGAUUCACACAGCGGGUCGUGGGUGGGCGUCCUGCUCCAGCCCCCGCCCACUCAACGCUGAUGUCACUGACUCACACGGGAACACGUUCAAGGGGCUGAUGCUCCCAUCAGAAGAAAACGAAAGGCAAGAAAGUAGAAAAACAACAGAUGAGUGCAUUCGGCAUCUUUCUCAUCGAUUUCAACCAGGACACGCUUACUUUGAUCCGAAACCUAGUGCGCUCCCUCCGUAGGCACUGUUUAAAGACGCCGACUUAGCUGUGCGUGUAUCCCAGAAUGCAUUGCAAUGAUCUCCGUGAACUUUUAUACAGUGCAGUGUACUUUUUUGCUUAGUAAUACUAAGAUUGAGUUAAUGCAGAAAGCACAUCAGGAGGUAAAAUUUCAAGUAAAACAUAAAUACAAAAAUAUAAAACAAAUAUUCAAAACAUUAUCCAGAAUACUAUACCAAAUAAUAAUAAAGAUAUACAUAUGCAUGCAUGCAUACAUACACGUUCAAAUAGAUAUAAGUACAAAGUAAUGCGUUACUUUACUAGUUACUAGUGGUUGAUUCUCUCAUCCAAGUGAUUUUUUUUGUGCCGCUGCCUGUGUGUAGCAUUCUGAAGCAGUUAUUUGUGAGGUUACAUCUCGUUUGGGAUGCUGCUGCGGUUAAAGUUCACUCAGACUUUGAUAAUUUACUCACUGACUUCCAUGGAAUACAAAGAGAAAUGUGAGGCAGAACCUCCUGACAUCACUGAUGAUUGAUAAAAGACCGAUGUUGAGAUUGUGUCUUCGUGAGUAACUAGCUCUUUUUUUCCUAAAAGUAAUGAAUUCAUUUAUGCAUGUAUGUAUGCAUAUAUGAUAUAUAUUUAUUUAUGAACCAAUUCAAAACAGUUUGGUGAUUCAUUUGAAUUCUACCUUUGAAUUACCUGUCUUUUUAUACUUAUAUUUUAAAUAAUAUUGUGAUAUUUGUUACAACUGUUUGUUACAACUGUUUUACAAAAUAAUGUAUCACUUCAACUCAGCUUUAAAAAUAAUCAUCUUUUUUUUUUUUUUGAUUUAUUGGUAUAUUUAAUGUAAAUUGAUCUGUUCAAGUGCAUUCAACCUAUUUGAAAUCAUCAUUGCUUUUAUGUUGGAUAAAUUCUCUAAUAGCUGAUUUAUACUAUUUUAAAAUAUGUUUGAUUAUUGAUUGAUUGAUUGCAGAUUAUACAACACAAGACAGGAAGCAUCUAACAAUGUAAGACACAUUCACGAGAACAUAAAAUAAAUGAUCAAAUAAUAGUAAUGAACACAAGAAGUAAGAAUUGAGACAAACAGCUAGCAGAUAAAGACAUAAAAUAUAUAUAUAUAUAUAUAUAUAUAUAUAUAUAUAUAUAUAUAUAUAUAUAUAUAUAUACAUACAUACAUAUACAUACAUACACAUAUAUACAUACACAUAUAUAUAUAAAUAUAUGGUGCUUUUUUGCUUCAUGAUUUCAUUGAAAAAAGCUCAGACAGUCAUCCUGACAUCUUUUGUGUUUCACAGGAAAAAGAAAGUCAUACGGAUAUAAAAUGUCAUAAUGGUGAGAAAAUGAUGACAGAAUUUUCAUUUUUCUUUCCCAUUUAACAGAAUAACUGCACUCUGUGCAGAAUAUUAUUUGACGCAUGAGUCAAGAAGUAUUACAAAUGCAUGACUUUCAGCUUUUGAACCCAUAAUGCAGAGUGAAGGGCUGAUCUGCUCUUGACUUGCAUCACAUUUGCCUUUCCAACAGCUUUAAAGGGACAUGUCAAUAAAAUAUAUUUACUGCUCACACGGGUCUUCAUUCAGCGAGCCCCAGGGGUCUUCCUCGUCAUACAAUCCUUUGAGAAAGGAUGGAAUAAUAAUGAACAGAGCAAAAUAAAUAGAGUUGUCAAAAAAGGGAAAAGGUUGUGUGUGAGCUAUUUAGGAUCAUUGAAAUGUCAGAGCUUGAAUUCCCUGUAAAUCCAGUAAUAACAUUCAUCCCAAGCUUUCCAGGAAAAUCAUCAGCCCUUCCUGGGAAAAACAACGCUAAUGUACAGGAAAAGGAACAGUGAAGUCACAGAAAUCCUUAAAAUGUCCUGUCCACCCAUAGAGACAAAUCUUCAGAUGUGGUGGACAUAAUAAAGAAUGGCACAUGUUCAAAA